UCUCAUCUUUUUAAUGUUCUUUUUCAAUGUUUUGAAUAACAGGCAAUUGAGUUAUAUGUAACUUACGUACGUGUUUGAUCGUAAUUUUGUUUUAAUAUUGUAACUAAAAUUGCAGAGUAUCAGUAUUUCUAUGAGAAAGAUGAUGCAACCAUUUAUUUUCUACAACCAAAUUCAUAAAACGCUGAUGUUGGCUACACGCAUAUAUAAGAGUUCAAAUUUUAUAAAAACUCAAGUUUUGAUUACCAAUCUUUUUUCAUUUUAACAUAUUUUCGCAAUAAUUCAAACAUAGUCACCAGCUUUGAAAUAUCAACCACAUAAUAUCAAUAAUCGAUCAUCACUCGUCAGCAGGAGAAUUUUGGUAAUCAAAAAGUGCAUUGGAUUUGUUUUCAUACAAUUCAAUUUAAUGGUUUAAUAUUUAUAAAUAUAUGUACGUUCUUGAGGAAUAUCCAUUUUAGGAAGAGAAUAAGACGCCUCAAAAACAACAAUAACGACAGAUUACGUUUAGGUUCUUCGAACAAUAUAUCAAAAUACCUAAAUGCAUGUGCUUUAAAAUUGAUGGCAGGAACAAAACAUUACCUGUGAUGAAGGUACCCGCUUGCUUCACCAAACACCAGAAAGCUAGGGCCUAAUGAAGUUUCACUACAGACGGUGUACCGGGACGAUGGAGAUUUUAAUACAGCAAUAGCAGAAUAUCAACUUUGUGAAAAUUGUUAACAUUGUACGCAAAUGUAAAAAGUGUUUUUGAAAAUAGAUGCAAUUGUGCUAUUGUGUGUACUUACGUAUUUACGCCACCGCAAAAUAUUCUUAUUGUAAAACUCUUUUUACAUUUAGUUGGCUUUGGCCACCUUGAUACUGACCGAACCAACACAGGUGAGCCUUGCAGGAUUCCUUCUAGUUUUCUAAGAAGGGUAUAAUUUUUUUUUUUAGAAAAAAAGUACCGAGUUAUGUAGCUGUGGGGGUAUCAAUACGUAAGUACCAUUAUUUUGUCCAAAGAAAAUAUGUUUUCAAUAUUUGGAUAU
rnacentral:lncRNA from 1 species